AUCAAGAGGGGAAAACAGAGUUCUGUUCUUAUAACAAGGGUAGCAAAAAGAGGAGCACGAAAAAGGUUUACUCGCACCUAUUUCUUUCAAUAAGACUUAAGAGCAUCCUCCAGGUCUUCGAUAUUUGACGGAUUAUCUGUACCUCACAGGGUGAUAUGAUGGUGGCUACAGCUCGAUAAUACAACCAAAAUCAUGAAGUUGUUCGACAGGCCUGUUAGUUUGAAUGCAGGUCCGGUUAUGAUACUUUGACUGUGGAGCAGAUCUUCAGGAACUCGUCAAUCUUGGCAGAGUAGACGUG
rnacentral:lncRNA from 1 species